GCUGCCAUCGUCUAGCGGUCAGGAUCACCGGUUCUCGACCGGUCGACGCGGGUUCGAGUCCCGCUGGCAGUGCCA
rnacentral:tRNA from 2 species